rnacentral:rRNA from 1 species
UACGAGGGGCGCGAGCGUUGUUCGGAAUCACUGGGCGUAAAGCGUGCGUAGGCGGUUUUGUAAGUCAGAAGUGAAAGCCUGGGGCUCAACCUCCGAAUUGCUUUUGAGACUGCAAAGCUAGAGUAUUGGAGAGGUUAGUGGAAUUCCGAGUGUAGAGGUGAAAGUCGUAGAUAUGCGGAGGAACACCAGUGGCGAAGGCGACUAACUGGACAAUUACUGACGCUGAGGCACGAAGGCGUGGGGAUCAAACAGG